GGGUCAGUAGGUUGGUCGUGCCACCGGUACGUACUGCUCUCACUGAUUCCUCCUUCCUGAAGAACCGUAAUGCCAUUAAUUUGGUGUUGCGGGGAAACAGGACUGUUACUUUGAAAAAAUUAGAGUGUUUAAAGCAAGCUAACGCUUGAAUACAUUAGCAUGGAAUAAUGAAAUAGGACGAUCGAUCCUAUUUUGUUGGUUUCUAGGAUUGACGUA
rnacentral:rRNA from 1 species